rnacentral:rRNA from 1 species
GAUGAACGCUGGCGGCGUGCCUAAUACAUGCAAGUCGAGCGAACAGAUAAGGAGCUUGCUCCUUUGACGUUAGCGGCGGACGGGUGAGUAACACGUGGGUAACCUACCUAUAAGACUGGGAUAACUUCGGGAAACCGGAGCUAAUACCGGAUAACAUUUGGAACCGCAUGGUUCUAAAGUGAAAGAUGGUUUUGCUAUCACUUAUAGAGGGACCCGCGCCGUAUUAGCUAGUUGGUAAGGUAACGGCUUACCAAGGCAACGAUACGUAGCCGACCUGAGGGGGUGAUCGGCCACACUGGAACUGAGACACGGUCCAGACUCCUACGGGAGGCAGCAGUAGGGAAUCUUCCGCAAUGGGCGAAAGCCUGACGGAGCAACGCCGCGUGAGUGAUGAAGGGUUUCGGCUCGUAAAACUCUGUUAUUAGGGAAGAACAAACGUGUAAGUAACUGUGCACGUCUUGACGGUACCUAAUCAGAAAGCCACGGCUAACUACGUG